CCCGUCAAUCGGGGUAGUGGUUUUGCUUUUGGAACCCUCAGCCAAAUACAGCAAACUAAAAAGGAACCGUGUGCAAAUCACGGGCAGUCGUGCUACUGUAAAUAUCAGUUCCGGAAUACAGGAACAAGUUUUUACCCAGGUGUCCCAUUGUUGUAAAUGUCCAUUUAAAAGGCAUGUGCGACGAGAAGGGCGGUGAAAAUGAUAUAAGCCAGGAGACUUGCCGCUACUCUCAAUGUCCA
rnacentral:ncRNA from 2 species